rnacentral:rRNA from 1 species
AACACGUGAGUAACCUGCCCCAGACUCUGGGAUAAGCCCUUGGAAACGAGGUCUAAUACCGGAAUACGAGACAAGACCGCAUGGUCAUUGUCUGGAAAGAAUUUCGGUCUGGGAUGGACUCGCGGCCUAUCAGCUUGUUGGUGAGGUAAUGGCUCACCAAGGCGACGACGGGUAGCCGGCCUGAGAGGGCGACCGGCCACACUGGAACUGAGACACGGUCCAGACUCCUACGGGAGGCAGCAGUGGGGAAUAUUGCACAAUGGGCGCAAGCCUGAUGCAGCGACGCCGCGUGGGGGAUGAAGGCCUUCGGGUUGUAAACCCCUUUCAGUAGGGAAGAAGCGAAAGUGACGGUACCUACAGAAGAAGCGCCGGCUAACUACGUGCCACCAGCCGCGGUCAUACGUAGGGCGCAAAGCGUUGUCCGGAAUUAUUUGGGCGUAAAGAGCUCGUAGGCGGUUUGUCGCGUCUGCUGUGAAAAUCCUGAGGCUCAACCUCGGGACUGCAGUGGGUACGGGCAGACUAGAGUUGUGGUAGGGGAGACUGGAAUUCCCUGGUUGUAGCGGUGGAAUGCGCAGAUAUCAGGAGGAAACACCAAUGGCCGAAGGCAGGUCUCUGGGGCCCACUACUGACGCUGAGGAGCGAAAGCCAUGGGGGAAGCGAACAG